GACGAACGCUGGCGGCGUGCUUAACACAUGCAAGUCGAACGGAAAGGCCCUGCUUGCAGGGUACUCGAGUGGCGAACGGGUGAGUAACACGUGGGUGAUCUGCCCUGCACUUCGGGAUAAGCCUGGGAAAAUGGGUCUAAUACCGGAUAGGAGCCAUUUUUAGUGUGAUGGUUGGAAAGUUUUUUCGGUGUAGGAUGAGCUCGCGGCCUAUCAGCUUGUUGGUGGGGUAAUGGCCUACCAAGGCGGCGACGGGUAGCCGGCCUGAGAGGGUGGACGGCCACAUUGGGACUGAGCGACGGCCCAGACGCCUACGGGAGGCAGCAGUGGGGAAUAUUGCACAAUGGGCGCAAGCCUGAUGCAGCGACGCCGCGUGGGGGAUGACGGCCUUCGGGUUGUAAACUCCUUUCGCUAGGGACGAAGCUUUUUGUGACGGUACCUAGAUAAGAAGCACCGGCUAACUACGUG
rnacentral:rRNA from 1 species